GUUGAGAAAUCGAGAAAUCCCCUAUGUGAAAAUUCAGUAGAGCAAUCAUGAUGAUCGUGAGGCCACCUGGGAACUCGAGGAGUUGAUGAGAAAACACUAUCCUCAUCUGUUUGAGGAGUGAGGUAUGAGUUUAAAUUAAAGUUGGGAAAUUGUUCGUUUCGAGGACGAAACUCUUUUUAAGGAGGGGAGGAUGUAAGGAAGUGAAUUCUCAAAAUCCGGGAGUUGUACUUCGUCCAGGAUCGACUGGUUGUCGAGAGAAUACCCUUCGUGGGAAUUAACAAUGCCCAAAACACAAAUGUGCUUUGGAGUUGAGUCCGCGAGAGCAAACAGGCAAAAUCUGGACUCAGCAGAUUUUUUUUGCUCUCGGGGACCGGUCUCUGGAGAGAAGGACCGGUCCCAUCGGCUGGGCGUGCGGGGUUGCAUGGUGCAACCGGACCGGUUCCCGAACGUGGUCCCAGCGAGAAUUGCCGAAAUCUGGCUAAGUCCUGAAAAUCAAGCUCUCGGGGACCGGUCUCUAAGGCGAGGACCGGUCUCCGGAGGACCGGUCUCCCGGGGAGAGACCGGUACCCGAACGCGUGCGCCCGAGGGAAGCUCUCGGGGACCGGUCCCAAGUCGGGGAGACCGGUCCCUCCGCGCGAAAACUGCCCAGUGAGGGCUGUGUAAUGGAUGGAAAGUGAAGGGGUUUAAAUGCAAAAUGGCCUUUAUGUGAGGGGUGUAUAUGGAAAUAACCCUCUCCCUCAGCCCCCUCUCAUCUCAUUUCCCUCUCUCACACUCUCUUUCUCCCUUGCUCUCUCUCUCUAGAAAAGAAAGGAGAAGAAGAAGAAUAAGAAGGAGAGGAAGGAAGAGAAGAGGAAGAUAGGAAGGAGAAGAAGAAGGAGAUCAAGAGGAAGGCUUGGAGCACCUCCAUCUCCCUCUCCUCUUCCCAUUGGUGUAGCUCUUGAGGUAAGCUACUAAACCCUAGCUUUGUAAACUUAGGUUUUGGUUUUAUGCUUUGGAAUGGGGCCAAUGAUCUAGGCAGUCUAAAUAGAUCAAUCCAUGAUCUAGGGUUUUAUCGUGGUGCUGCUAUAUGUGCAACCUAGGGCUCAAUGGGGGAUUUGUUACAAGUGUGAGAUUGAUCUCAAUUUGAGGCUUGGUAAACCUCACUCGAUUAGGUGCCAACGGAGAGGGGGGCGAGAGUCGUAUUUCGCGAAAUUCGUCGAGUCGAGUAUGGAGGUAUCGGCGGAAUUGACGGUCGUUUCGGCGUUGAUCUUGGACAAGGGAGGCUUAGCCGCAUGUAGAGACAGCCGAGGAAGCGUCUUAGAGCUUCAUUGAUUAAAGGUGGGGGGUGUCAUUCCCGAAGUUUCGAAUUUUCUAUGUUUGGAUUGAUUUAUAAUUUCUCAGCUAUUCUUGUUGCAUUGUAGGAUGGCCAUAGUAGCUCCAUUCCUUAUGCUUUCUAAAUGAUAACUAGUGUACUUGAACGCUUGGGAUAAUUGGAUAGGUGAGGAUUGGGUUCGGAACGUGGAUCUAUGAUGUGAAAAGAAAAAGAGAUGAACGAUGGGGGUUUGUGACAUAGAAAAGUAGUGUUUAGUAGGAAAGAACACACGGUUGUGGCAUCAAAAGUAAAUGAUGACGAGUGGCUUAAUAUAGUGUAUACGGGACACUAAGAGGUUGAUGAACUAGGGAUAGGGGAUCCUUGAAUGCCUUGAUGAACAAUGAAUUUAGAAGAGUAAUAUCUUGCAAUGAUGUCGCGAAACAAAUGAAUGGCGAGGGAUGUUGGACUUGUUAUGGUAUGCUUCCUCAUUGGAGAGGGAUUCGAUUGGGUUAUUGACUCUAGUUGUGAGCCUCUCUUGGAGAGGAUUUGGUUGGGUGUUGACCUAGUUACAGUGUUCUCACAUGGAGGGAUGAUCUAGCUCAAAGUCUGAACCGUCUUAGGGUGGCUAGCAUCAAUUCCACUGGAGGGAUUGGUCGUCCGAGUACUCCGGAGUGUCGCGCGACAUAGGCCAUUGAGGUCGGACACAUGGAGGUCCGAGACCGGUCACGGGUUGGGUGCACUGGAGAUCCCUCGCCACUUUGGGUUGGAGAUGGUUAUGGGUGAGAGGCGUAGGGCCUCGCCACAGAUGGGACUAAUGAAAGGUUAAGCCGUUUAAUAAAUGUCAGUUUUGAACUAGUAUACGACAUGGAUCGAAUUUGUUAGCAUGGGUAGAAACCUUUAUUAUGAUGUGAUGCAUUAUUUCAUGAUUUGGGCAUGUAGCAUAGUUUCCUACUACUUGCUUUAAGCUUUUAGAUAUCUAUUAUCUAUCUACUUUUGUUACCUUGUUGCACACUUGGACUAGUGGGGAGAUCAGGCAGAGUCAGGAGCAGAGUCACUGGGAACUUAUGAGGAAGAUAGUGUCUCACCCACUUCUUUUCAGUUGGUAGUACAGGGUUUACGAGGAGGACGCGGCAGGAUCGCGGCCGAUCGUGAACGUGAGGUAGAUAUAGGUAGCUUUCACUUUCGAUUAGCCCCUAUGUUUUGAGAGAGAUUAUGUGGUGAUGGUUUGAGGAGAGUAUGUAUUUGAGGAUCCAAUGUUAUUCAUUCUGGAAAAUGAUUGAAUGUUAAAGAUGAAUAUUGUAAUAGUUGAGUAGUACUUCUUAUUUCCAUCUAUUACUUGUGGUUACUUGCUCCUUGUUGUUGGACUUGUUUGUGCCGCUUCGCUUGAAUGGUGUAUGUUCUGAAUUUAAAAGUCCUGAGAGUAAAUUUUGUACACAUUCCUGUUGUGAGCUUGGAGCGGGACAGGGAGUGCUGUUACGUUCGGCGGUUGUCGGCGCGACGAACGUGCCUGGUAAUGGUUUCGGGGCGAGGGGAGACAGUUGAUGGUUUUGAUUUGUGUUACCGAACUUUCACACUUGUGGAGGGUGUCGUGAACAUGUGACGCACUGGACCUUUGCAAAUUGCGAGGUUCGAGUGUUUGGAUAGUGUCCCGAGUUUUUCCAGACUUUCUGGUGGGUCGUUGACUGUGUUCCGACCCAUGGCUCGUAUCCCGAGAAUUGUGGUAUUAUAUGUAGCGCUAAGGUCACCAAAGAGUUGGACUUAGCCUACCCUCGGAUUGCAUUCUGCACGAGGUGUAACCGGUGACAGGUCGAUGGCUGUACCGGUACACAUUUUGUACCGGUACACUUUUGAUGGCUGUACCGGUACACUUGUGACGAAUUUCAAACCCGAGCCUCGGGUUUGCAUUUUCGUAGGAUUUGUACCGGUACAUUUUCCCGUGUACCGGUACACUUUGGCAGAAUCUGAGCAGUUUGAACUGCAGGGUGUUUCGCAAUUGUAGCCUUCUAUUUAGUACCCCACGCCCCUUAGGGCUUCUCCUGAGCUCAGAUCACAGAGAGGGCAAGGUAGGGCACCCUUCUUCUCCUCCUCCCUUGGAUUUGAUCCCAUUCUCUUGGAUUUUGGAGGAUUAAACCCUCUUUUUGCUCUUUUUGCUUGUUGGAAGCUUUUCCUCCAUUGGAGCUUGACCUUGGAGCUUGGGAAGAGGGAGAUCUCCACACUUUGAGGAUUUUGGAGCUUGGUUUGAAGCUUCUUAGAGGUAAGUUACUUGUUCUCUCCCUCUAGACUUGAGCUUUAUUGAUGGAUUUGAGAUGAAACCCUAGAUUGUAAUAUUAGGGUUAUUUUUGGGUAUUUUGAAGCUAGGGCUAUUGGAGCUAGAUUGAUUGGUUUAGAGGCUUCCAUUAGGUGGGAUUGGAUGGACUCUAGCUCUCUUUUGGAGCUUUAGAGGAGAUUUUUGCACUUGAGGUGAGUUUUCCUCCACCUAUGCUUGAAUAGCUUAAAGAUUGAACUUAGCGUCGUUCGUUUCGACUAGAUGACACUUGUUCUCAUACCUUUAGGGUACUAGGAGUGUGGUGGACGCCUUCGUCGUGGCAAACGAAAGCUUUCGUUGACGACGGUGGGUUUGACUUCAUGAAAACGGGGUGAAAUGGCCCCUAUGCUUUCUAAACUCUUCGUAAAGUAUUUUUGAAUGUAUUUCUAUGCUAAUUGAAAUUUAUGUGAAUUUUAGAACACUUAAAAUGCAUGCCCUAUGUGUAAGUUAAAUUUCACUCUAUAUAGUAGAGUAAUCGGGGUUAUUUUCAUGCAUGUGAGGGGUGUUCAUGUGGACGAAUGGGAUUCUCGUCUAGUAUGCUAAUUUAGCUCAUAUUCGUGUAUUGGAAACAUUAUACUAUAUUUGGACUUAGUAGCCUAAAGUGUCAUCAAGAGGCACUUGAAACUAGUAUGUGAGAUAUGGAUCCCGAGAAUCUAAAAGGUAAGUAACACCUAGAGGGGGGUGAAUAGGUGUAAAACGGCAAACUCAAAAAUCUCGAUGCAAAUAAAACAAAGUAGCGGAAAAAAAAACAGCAUACCGAGAAUUUAACGUGGGAAAACUCCAAUUCGGAGUGAAAAACCCACGGGACCGAUCACGCGAAGAAAAUCCACUAAGAAAACUUGAGUACAAGUGAUUUUGACAAAAAUACACGACUCAAUUUACCGAUUUCCCGUAGAUAGCAAUCUUCACCGGUCCUCGAUCGAUGGGAAUCCUCCAAUCGAUCUCGCUGCAACUCCUCGCAGCAUCAACGCCUCAACUCCACAAAGCGUCCACCGAAUCCUCGGCUACACGCGAGCUCCACGCGCCGAAUCUCCGUCCGGAGCUUGUUGAAUCGAAGAUUUGUGGUGAUUAAGCUUUAGAAUCCCAUAAGCUAUGAGGGUCUAUCUUUAACCAAACAUCUACUUGAUUCUCGUAUAAGAUUUCGAGUAAAAACGAGGAAUCAAGUUGAUUUUGAUUAUUAGAACCUUGUUAUUAGAAUAAAUCCAUGAGAACAUCAAAAACAAGUUUCUAGGGUUUUGUAUAUGUAGAAAUUCAAAGCCUCACAUUUUUAGAUGACCCCCAUAGCUUAUUUAUAUGUUUAGAAGACUUAGAAGUAGACUAGGAUUGCAAAAAACCUUUUUUAAAAACCUGUGUCGUCCUCAGGGACCGGUCCUCUCGAGGAGACCGGUCUGUGAGAGACCGGUCUCUCAAGUGAGGAACCGGUCCCUCGCUGCGUAACCAAAACCACAACGUUCGGAAACCUGUCUCUCAAACUUGAGACCGGUCCCUCGCUGCGCGACAGAAUAACCAAGGUUCGGGAACCGGUCUCUCAUCUCCAGGAACCGGUUGCAUCACAAAUUACGCAGUGAGGAUCUUAGGGGAACCGGUCUCUUGAACUCAGAGACCGGUCCCAGAACACAGAAAAGUUCAGAAAAGUAAUUUUAAAGCAAUCUAAGCCUUCUGAACUUAUUCUAAUUAGUUAUCUUUACCACAAAUGAUUUUUUCAUCAUACCUUAGGUGUCGAGCUUUCCGAAUGAGUCUUUGUUUUUCAAUUUGGAUCUUUUAUUUAAACUUCCGCAAUCAACUCUUCAAGACUCCAUUCAACAUUACGAAAUCCGCCAACCUAUAAAAUCCUUAACAAUCUCCCCCUUUGGCGAUUUCGUGACAAAAUAUAUUAUAAAGCUCGUACACAACUCAGAAAUAAUAAAAAGAAGAUCAUCGCAAUCACCAAACGAUAAUCUCCUGCAUGAUCGAUCCAAUAAACGAAAAUUACAAUUUUUAUAACCUUAAUACAGACUUAAUACAGACUCUAUGACUUAGACGACAUGGAGUCUUGAAGUCUUGAAUUAUUCCUAAGUCAACAUCAAAGCUAAGUCAGCCUAAAUUCUAAAGUUCAAUCUAAAAGCAGCAUCAUCAUCAAAAGCAUCAUCAUCAUCAAAAUCAUCAUCAAAAACCAUCAAAACCAUCAAAAACCAUCAAAACCAUCUCCCCCUUUUUGUCAGAAAGCGCCAAAACGACCAAAGGAGGAACCCCAACACAUUUAAUCUGAAGUAUCCCCAGGGGGUAAAUCAGCUCGGCAACACCCCAACUUGUCAAAAAUCAUAUUCAGUAAUCGCUUCAUCUUGCUCACAUCCUUCCGUAUUGCAGCUUGCUCCGCAGACAGCUUCUGAAGCUCCUCAGAUAAGCGUUGCUGCUCACGAUAUACAGAAGAAACUGAGAUAUCUUCCUCGGAAAUAUCCAUAGAAGGACGCGAAGACGUAGCAGUAGCAGUAGCAGGAGGUGGAGCCGCAGGAGGGGAAGAAGCACGCUGAGAUGGAGUACGAAGCUGCACCGAGGACUUCACAAAUGUCCGUUCAUUGAUCCGACCUAAGCUGUGCUCAUAAGAUGAACAACGAACAUCUACGUCAUGAAGUCGCAGAAUCCUCAUGAUAGUAAGUGGAAAUGGCAAUCUCUCAUUUUGUCCAGAAGUCUUUAUGUCCUUAGCCAUUCUCCGCCAGAUCAAAAAUGGAAUAUUCAUAUUUAUAUUUCUGGCACUUACAAUAUCUGGCUUUCCCAAAAGAUACAUAAACAAAAUACGAUCCCAUCGCAAAAUCUUCGUGUUCGCAAGAGGCAUAAUGUUGUAGCAAACCACGAAGUUCAGAAAUCUAUACUCCAUUCGGAAAUCUUUGGACAUAACCAUAAUUCCGUUGGACUCAGUACCAGGCAUGCAAAUCGUAUUCACAACACGGUUCCAAUCGCGAAGUGAGUCGAACCCGGCCUGUAGAUAUUCCACUCCCUCAGUCCUUGCUUCCAUACCUAGCACAUCCGCUAUUGUAGCUGGAGUGAUUGAUAACUCAACCCCACGGACAGAAGUCUGAAAGACGUACGGACCGCCGUCGGAGUCACUCAGAUGACCUGCUCUCAUAUAAAAUUCUCUGAUCAACUCCAAACAAAAACCCGUUUGCUCCGGGAAAUUACAAAUAUGGUGAAGAUUUCCUUUUUCAAAUAACUCCUGAAACCCCGGCACACAGUUACUAAUACUCGCAACCCCAACAUCACGCUCUCCGAUACAAUGCUUUGACGAAUACAUGGACCGUCGAGCAGAUGGAACAUCCUGCAGACUAUGACGUGGAGGCUCAGAACCUGGUUCUCUAAUGUCAACCCCUCCACUCUUGCGACGACCAGAAUGUUCAGAUGCCUUUCCUUUGCCUUUAUCGACGGCUUUUUCUUUUCCCUUUCCUUUUCUUGUAUCCGUAUCCUUAGCCAACACCUCCGGAUCAUAAGGAUCCCAAUCUGGCUCGUCCUCCUCAGAUUCGUCGCCUGGAGCAUAUUCGCUCCCUUCAUCUUCCGGUUGUUGCUCAACCGGUCGUUUAGCUUUGGAGCGCUGUCGUUUGCUUCCACGACCACCCCCAGCCAUAAGGACAACAAGAACAAGAAUCCACAAGUACAUUUUCGAAAAUCACCUGUUGAACAUAAUGAAGCUUGCAUAAAAAUUUUUUUUUUUUAAAAUACCAAAAAUUUUGAGCAAAUUGGUAAAUAAAUACUAGAUAAUCCUAGAGGCCUCAAGAUCAUGAUAAACACAAAUCAUGCACCAAAAACAGGUUUUGCACAUUAAAAUUAACAGGUUUAACAUGAAAAAUUGUCGAAAAUAAACCAAAAAGAUGAAGAAAUACUAGAGAAAAUGAAAAUAACAGAUCGAGUAGCAAGAUCAUAGCAUAAAAGAGCACAUGCAGCAAGAUUUCUAGAACAACCACCAAAAAAUCGAAAACAAAACACAUUUUCGGAGUAUAUGAUAUAAAUGCAACAAAAUCCGAAAAACAUACCUAAAAUCAAAGCAAAUCGGAGAAGAUCAGGAGUAAUCCCUACUCAGGACGCAAGAGAGAAGCAAGAGAGAACGUAAGGAACGAAAAAAAAUAAAUUUUGACGGUAGUACAAAAAGAACGCACGCGAAAAGCCCUUUAUCGGGUCUGGCGGAGGGACCGGUCUCUCCUGCCUGGGACCGGUCCCAGAGCCUGAAAUUUUUAAUAAAUUUUAAUUGAAGCCCGAAAAUUCCAGAAAAAUUAUAAGGUAUUCCAUAAUGUUCAAUCAACAAAAAUAACCAAUUUACAUCUCCAAAAACUUUCAAAUAAAAUUUCAUAAAUAAAAUUUGAAAAAUCAAUUUCAGGGAUAUUCAAAAUUUCAAAAUUGUUGAUCCGAAAAGGAAUGAAAAUUCUUAAUACAUAUAAAAUGAAGUCCCACACACCAUGCAAGAUCUAGGAAUUUAUUAUAUCAUUAUACCAUCAUAUUUUGUUAAAGAAAAUGAAUAAAUAAUUCUCAGAAUCGUGAAAUUAACAUAAUAUGUUCAAAUUGAGUUAUGCACAAAAUUCGAGAAAGGAGUGGCUCUUUGAGCAUCUUUUUAUUGACAUUCCACCUUAUAUCACCUACAAGAAGUAUAGCUCUUUGAGCAUAUAUUUUAUUUUGGACUCCGAAAGGUACUUUCCUUUUGUCUUAUAGAGAUAUUUUAAUCAACAUGUGGUAGCUGCACACACUGACCGGACGACCGGGGUGGUAGCUCUUUCCUCCAUGGGGUGGUAGUUUUCACACUCCCAGCAGGGAUGUAACUCUUUCCACAUCUUGAAUAUCAGAAAUUGUCAUAACCGAAAUUGGAAAGACUCCCCCUAAAUUAGUGCAACCCUCAAGUCAAAAAUAUUAUUGCAAUUUCAAAAACAGAGAACGAGCUAUUCAUCUCAAAACUAAUAAUCAAGCAAACAAUUGCAAUAUUCAAAGUUCGAAGCAUGAGGUGUUGAAUUUGAUUUAAUAUGCCAAAUAGAAUUUCAAAGAUUUGAUCGUUCAAAAAUAUGACAAUAGAGAACAACCCUGACAGUGAUCAAUCAAAAAUUAAAUAUGAAAUAUUUAAAGUCACAGAACAAAUCAGCAGCAUUAUUCAUGAAAUUUUUAAUCCUCUUCGUAUGUGUAAUCAAGAAACACCAGAAAACAUGCAGAUAAACAUGCAACAUGCACAUGAUCUAUGGCCCAAAGAAAUAUCUAGAUUGAAGGAUUCAUACCAAUAGCCUUUCUUAAAUGCAGAAACCGUUUUUGAUCCAAAGGUUUGGUUAAAAUAUCUGCAAGUUGAUUUUCAGUCGAAAUAUAUUCAAGUUGUAGAAUGUUUGAUUCAACCAGUUCUCUUAGAAAAUGAUAUCUUAGUUCAAUAUGUUUUGUUCGAGAAUGUAAAACAGGGUUUUUAGAAAUGUUAAUUGCACUUGUGUUGUCACACAGAAUAGUAAGGGUGGUAGAAGGAAUCCGAUAGUCGCUCAGCAAGCUUUUCAUCCAAAUUAAUUGAGUAGAGCAACUCCCGGCAGCAAUGUAUUCAGCUUCGGCGGUGGAAAGAGCAAUACAAUUUUGUUUCUUACUGUGCCAAGCAACCAGACAGUGUCCAAUGUAGAAACAAGCUCCACUAGUACUUUUCCGAUCAUCUGCGGAGCCUGCCCAGUCAGCAUCUGAAUAGCCGAUUAGAUCAAGAGAUGUUCCCAUCGGAUACCAGAGGCCAUACGUGGUUGUACCUUUAACGUAUCGAAUGAUUCUUUUAACUGCUUUCAGAUGUACUUCCUUCGGGUUAGCUUGAUAACGAGCACAAAUUCCAACACUAAACGCAAUAUCUGGUCUGCUCGCAGUCAAAUACAGUAGGCUACCAAUCAUGCUUCUGUAUUGUUUCUCAUCCACGCUCUGUCCUUCCAAACUCAAUCCAAGUCCUUUGUUGCUUGUACCCAUUGGAGUGUCGAAUUCCUUUGCAUUGUCCAAUCCAAAUUUCUUAACCAAUUCUUUUGCAUAUUUGGAUUGACACACGUGAAUUCCAUCCUUAGUUUGCUUAACUUGAAGUCCGAGAAAAUAAUUAAGCUCCCCCAUCAUUGACAUCUCAAACUCGCUCGUCAUCAAUUUUGCAAAAUCACUGGCAUCCUUAUCCUUAGUUGCUCCAAACACUAUGUCAUCAACAUAAAUUUGUGCCACAAUGAAAUCAUUCUUUAAGUGUUUUACAAAUAGAGUCCUAUCCGCUCCCCCUCGUUUGUAGCCAUUUUCCAAAAGAUAUUUUGUUAAUCGAUCGUACCAUGCUCGUGGAGCCUGUUUUAGUCCAUAAAGUGCCUUUUUCAAUCUAAAAACAUGAUUUGGAAAUUUUGAGUCUAUAAAUCCUUUUGGUUGUUCAACAUAAACUUCCUCUUUUAAAAAUCCGUUUAGAAAUGCACUUUUAACAUCCAUUUGAAACAGAGUGAUCUUAAAAUGACAGGCAAUGGCGAACAGGAUACGAAUUGAUUCAAGACGGGCAACCGGGGCGAAUGUUUCAUCAAAGUCUAUUCCCUCAAUUUGUGAGUACCCCUGAGCAACAAGUCUCGCUUUGUUCCGAACAAUAGUACCAUCCUCAUUUUUCUUAUUCUUAAAGAUCCAUUUGGUGCCGAUUAUGUGUUGUUGCUCAGGACGUGGCACCAAUUCCCAUACAUCAUUGCGAACAAAUUGACCAAGUUCUUCUUGCAUGGCAUUUAUCCAAUAUUCAUCACAUAGAGCUUCGUCAAUGUUCUUUGGCUCGAUCAAGGAAACAUAACAUGCGAAUUCACACUGUAACUGACUUCUUGUUCGCACUCCAACAGUAGGAUCCCCUAUGACAUUUGAUAAAGGAUGAUCUCUUGACUCUGUUAGGGGUGUAGUCUCAGGAGAGAUGCUAGGGAUUUCUGAUGAGAUGUCUUGAUGCUCAGAUGAAUCAUUUGAUGCAAUAAUUUCAGAUGAAGCAGUAGAAUUAUCGAGUGCAGAAACUUCAUCACUUACAGGCAAUACAAAUGGAGAAUCAUUAUCAUCAUCAUUCAUCAAAGAGUUAGAAGAGCCAUUCGCAGAAGACCUUACAGAAGAAGCUUCAUCUACUUUUAUAUUAAUGGAUUCUAUCACCGUCUUAGAUCUUAAAUUGUACGCACGAUAGGCACGACUUGUAGUAGAAUAACCAAGAAAGAUGCCUUCGUCACUUCGAGAGUCAAACUUUCCAAGAUUAUCACGAUCCCGAAGGAUAAAACAUUUACUCCCGAAGACGCGAAAAUAUUUAAUAUUUGGUUUCCUACCAAGCCAUAGUUCAUACGGAGUAUUCAACGUACCCGGACGCACAUAAAUCCGAUUGAUAACAUAGACAGCUGUGUUAACUGCUUCGGCCCAAAAGUGUAAAGCAAUUUUCUUACUAUGAAGCAUAACACGUGCCAUCUCCUGUACCACCCGAUUUUUGCGUUCAACCACUCCGUUUUGUUGGGGUGUAUAAGGAGCCGAGAAUUCAUGUUUAAUGCCAUUAGAAACACAAAAGUCAACAAAUUUUGAGUUUAUGAAUUCUCCCCCUUGAUCACUUCUAAUACGUACAAUUUUAUCAUUCCGUUCAGUCAUAAGACGAAGACAGAUUUCAGAAAAAGAAUCAAAAGUAUCAGCCUUUUCUCGUAAGAAAGCACUCCAAACAAAACGAGUAAAAUCAUCAACAAUGAGCAAGAUAUAGCGUUUUCCUCCCAAACUUUGAAUUCUAGAUGGUCCCAUCAAAUCCAUGUGUAAUAACUCUAAGGGUUUAGAUGUCCCUAAGUGAUUCAAAUUCUUAUGUGCGGUUCUAGUCUGUUUCCCCAAUUGACAACCCCCACAUACAGUAUGCUCUUUGUAGUCUAUCUUAGGUACCCCUCUAACAACAUCCUUCUUUGUUAUCUUGGAUAGCUCCUUAAAGUUUAUGUGACCUAGUCGUUCAUGCCAUAAAGUUUCAGUUUCUAAUGACGCUAGGUUACAAUGUUCAGCUGUAGAACUAGGAACAACAUAGCAGUUAUUUUGUGAUCUAAUGCCCUUUAAAAAAAGAUUGUCAUCACGAACCACAUGGCAUUCUUUAUCAGAAAAAUUCACAGAAUACCCAUCAUCACACAGUUGGCUUAUGCUUACAAGAUUAGACUUAAGCCCCUCAACAUAGAAAACAUCAUUCAAAGUGGGGCCAUCUGAGAUAGUCACUGUUCCUUUCCCAACAAUUUUAGACGACCGACCGUCUCCGAAAACAACAAGUCCUCCGGAGAUUUUGUUUAAAGAAGUGAACCAAUUUUUAUCUCCGGUCAUAUGACGGGAACAACCACUAUCCAGAUACCAUGAAGUAUUAUCGUAAGCAUGAAGCGAAGUGUGAAUGACUAGGCAUGGGAAGAGUUCACCUUUGCGCACCCAAACCUUACGUGUUUUGGAUUGCGUCGGUUCGCUUGCUUUUGAUGAUCGUGGCUUGUCGACGAUUUGAAUUGACUUCUUCUUCAUAUUCUCCUUCUUUGGUUUCCAUGCCUGUUUUGCUGUUGAUUUCGGAACAUUAGGAGUCCAAGUUUGUCUCUUCUCCUUAUGAUUAACCUUCUUUGCAGUCCAAGUUGACUUCCUAUUAGGUUUAGGUUCAUUCUUCGUGAGUGAUGUUCUUUGAUUCAAGGGAGUUGAUGAGCUCUUUCCCUUUUGUUUGCAAAAUUUCUUUAUAUGACCUAAAACACCACAAAUGUGACAAGUUUUGUUAGUCAAAUUGUUUUGAGGAGAGACAAACUUACCGUAGAGCUUAGGAACAGCAGUUGACAAAUGUCCGUCAUCUUUCUUAGUUACUUGAUCAAUAUACGUCCGUUCAUAACCAAGUCUAAGUUUAUUAGUUUGACCAAGUCCAAGCAUCUUGUCAAGUUUACUCGAACCAGACGAAAAUUGAUGAAGAUUUGACUUCAAUUGAAUGAUUGUCUUGGUGAAUUCCAUAUUUGCUUCUCUAGCCUCCGAAUAUUGCUUGGUAAGAUAAUCAAUGUUUUCAAUGUGUGUCACCUUUUCCUUUUCGAGUAAUGAACACUUCUCAAUUAAAGAAUUGUAAGCUUUUGACAAACCAUCUCUCUCUUGUUCUAAAUCCUUUGUUAGAGAGACCAAUUUUAAAUUUUCUUGUUGCAACUCAUGUAGACUCCGCCGCAGUCUCUUGUUAUGUUUUGCUACCUUCUUUGAUUCGACAACCAAUUGUUGAUAUGCUGCGACCAUGUCGUCUUCGUCCGAUUCUUCAUUCGAUGAGUUCUCCGAAGAUGAUUUCUCAUGAAUAGAUGACACAGAAAUGGAAUCUGUAGAUACCAAACACAUAAAAGUUGAAUCCUGUGCAAUCAGGGCCGUGGCAUUUACAUCCUCAUCACUUGAAGUUGAAUCAUCAGAUGAGGAGUCGUCCCACGUGAUAGCUUGCAUCGCCUUCUUCUUCAAUGACUUUUUAUUUGGACAGUCCGAAGCAAUAUGACCAAAGCCUCUACACUUGUAGCAUUGAAUCUGACCUUCACUGUUUUUCUUCUCUUUUGUAGAGUUCUUUUGGGAAUUUUCCGAUUUUCUGAACUUUGACGAAGAAGAAGAAAACGAUCCUCCUUUAGAUUUGCUCGUCUUGGAGGAAGUGGACUUGGGAGGAAACUUCUUUCUAAAGUUCCGACGAAACUUCUUAGUUAGAAGCGCUAGUUGCUUUUCAAACUCCUCCAAAGUUUGCUCCGACUCUGAAUCCGAUGAAGUUGAAGUGACAUCUCCUUUUGUCGAUUUUAGAGCCAUCCCUGAAGCUUUAGAAAAAGACUUGGACGAGGAUGAAUUAGAAGGAAAAGUCAUUUCAUAAGUUUGAAGUGCACCUACUAAUUCUUCUACUUUGAGUUCAUCAGGAUGUUUGACCGUUUCAAUAGCCGCAACCUUAGGACGAAAUCGUUCGGGAAGGGUUCUCAAAAUUUUUCGAACAAUUUUGGAAUCGGGAAUUUUCUCGCCCAAGUUAGCACACGUGUUCACAAUGUCUUGCAAACGAGUAUAAUACUCGGUAAAAGAUUCAUGUUCUUCCAUACGAAUGGAAUCAAAUCUACUAGUAAGCAUUUGCAAUUUUUGAAUCUUAACCAAGCUUGUACCCUCGUGUGUAACUUGCAAAGUAUCCCAAAUCUCCUUGGCGGUUUCACACGCCGAGACGCGAGAAAAUUCAGUUUGAUUUAAAGCAUUAAAAAGAGCAUUGAUACCCUUCCCAUUGUACGAAGAUAAUUCGUUUUCUUCUUUCGUCCACUUAUUUCUAGGUUUCGGACCGAUAACAGUUUCGACAACUUCCGUAGGAUGUUUCCACCCGAAUUCAACGGCUUGCCAAACCCGCUCGUCGAUGGCAAUAAGAAACGCCCUCAUACGGACUUUCCAAUAAGCGUAAUUAGUGCCAUCGAAGAGAGGGGGUCGAUUGAUGUUACCGCCCUCGGCCAUGUUUUACAACCUAUACCCGCUCUGAUACCACUUGUGAGAUAUGGAUCCCGAGGAUCUAAAAGGUAAGUAACACCUACAGGGGGGUGAAUAGGUGUAAAACGGCAAACUCAAAAAUCUCGAUGCGAAUAAAACAAAGUAGCGGAAAAGAAAACAGCACACCGAGAAUUUAACGUGGGAAAACUUCAAUUCGGAGUGAAAAACCCACGGGACCGAUCACGCGAAGAAAAUCCACUAAGAAAACUUGAGUACAAGUGAUUUUGACAAAAAUACACGACUCAAUUUACCGAUUUCCCGUAGAUAGCAAUCUUCACCGGUCCUCGAUCGAUGGGAAUCCUCCAAUCGAUCUCGCUGCAACUCCUCGCAGCAUCAACGCCUCAACUCCACAAAGCGUCCACCGAAUCCUCGGCUACACGCGACCUCCACGCGCCGAAUCUCCUUCCGGAGCUUGUUGAAUCGAAGAUUUGUGGUGAUUAAGCUUUAGAAUCCCAUAAGCUAUGAGGGUCUAUCUUUAACCAAACAUCUACUUGAUUCUCGUAUAAGAUUUCGAGUAAAAACGAGGAAUCAAGUUGAUUUUGAUUAUUAGAACCUUGUUAUUAGAAUAAAUCCAUGAGAACAUCAAAAACAAGUUUCUAGGGUUUUGUAUAUGUAGAAAUUCAAAGCCUCACAUUUUUAGAUGACCCCCAUAGCUUAUUUAUAUGUUUAGAAGACUUAGAAGUAGACUAGGAUUGCAAAAAACCUUUUUUAAAAACCUGUGUCGUCCUCAGGGACCGGUCCUCUCGAGGAGACCUGUCACGACCCGACACCGUCAAUUUGAACAGUUCGUGCCCAAAACAGACCCGCCGAACGGACAGAGUUUCCCCUGCCCGCCCGAAGCCAUAGUUAGUUAAUUCGCGAAUUAUUCGCGAAUUAUUCGCGAAUUUUUGAAAAUCCGGAUUAAACGGCCGUUUCCGAUUUUUUCCCAAAAAUUCGGAAAAAAACGCGUUUUUUCAGGUAAAAGUAAUUAUUCGCGAAUUGAACGUGGUUCGCGAAUAGUUCGCCCCAAAAGAUCGGGGCGGUUGCUGCGACGCGGAGUCGCGGGCCUUGCGGGUGGCCGAAAAUAUAAAAAAAAAAAAACCUUUUCAGAGAAGCUUCGCGCUUCGCCUCGCCAUGUCGCCCGAAAGGCAAAAAAAAAAAAAAAAAAAAAAAAAAAAACCUUUCUGAAAAGAUCGCUCCCCUCCCACCCCGAGUCCCCGACCCCAAAAGAAGGGUUUGCCCUAACUUCUCACUCCUGCGGCGGUCGCGGUUCUUCCCCUCCCCCUCUUCUGUCAUGGUGCGACCAUGACGGCGAGCAGAGGAGCAGUAGAUAGAAGGUAAAGGAGUAGAGUGAGACAAUGGAGGAUCCAUGGUAGGAGGAAGCAAGGCGGCGGUGUGAUCUAUGGGAGAGAUAGGCUAACGGGUAGUGGGCUCGCACUCCCUCACUGUAGCGUCACCAAGCCCGACUCCGCACCUUGAUUCGGCUUUCGGGCGACGGGUCCGCGCUCUCUCACAGCUGCAUUGUCGGACCCGACUCCGCUUUCUUGGAGGGAGGCGUAUUGAAGCCACAGGAGUUGAUGCAAUUAGUACUAAUACAAUUACUACCAUACCCCUGCCAUUAUAACUCUUACAUUUUGGCCCUCUAGAUGGAAGCAGUAUAUGUAAUGAACUCACUUCUGUAAUAGACAAGCAAGAGAUAAAUAAAAUCCCAAUUUCCCAAAUCCCAAGUCUGGAUGGAAGCAUAAAUCUUGAGAGAAAAAAACUUAAUUUAAUAGCCGAAUUUUUGAUCCCGAAUUUUUGAUUGGUAAACGUAUAAUAUUCGUAUAAAUCACGUAUCCGAAUAAUUGACGAAUCCGUUUUUUUACCGUUUUUUUCAACGAAUUUAAAAAUUAGAAGACGAAUUUUAUCCGAAUUAUAUCCGUACCGAAUUUUUACCGAAUCCGAAUUAACUAACUAUACCCGAAGUGUAACAAAGUCUAUGCAUACAUAUCCAAUAAGAGAUGUUAGCAUUCAACAUUGAGAGAGGCAAUCACAGAUACAAGAGAAUUUAAACUAUCCAUUACAUCACUUGUUCACACACAAGAAACAUUACAUAUUUCACUUGACUUCUCAUACAUAUAACCAAAAUGCCAUCCCUCAAAUACAUUACAUUUCUUCACAAAAGGGUUUUACAUAUCAUUCUUUCCUUUUUAUACUUGAGGGUAGUGAGCUAAUGCCGGUGGUCCACUCUAUCUACUGUGCGACGCCCUUGCCGCGAUCCUCGACACACGCGCUCGAACUAGGCUCUGCAAAACAGGGUGUGAGAACUAUUAUCCAUAGUUCCCAGUGGGUUCGGCCGCCGACCCCGCCGAUUUUCCCACUAGGUCCAAGAAAGGCAUAGAAACAAUAAAGAGGUCAACAUGUCAAAGGAAUAAUAGAUAUAACAAUAAGCCUACCUUGCUCAUCCACAUCUAUAUCAUGCUCAAAUGUGUAGCUAUGCCUUUACCAAUGAUGCAAUCAUGUCAACAAGUAUAUGUUUAAGUUCUGUCAUGUAUGCAANNNNNNNNNNNNNNNNNNNNNNNNNUCCUAGGCAGCCUUUUAGUGCGAGCCACCAGCCGCUCACGAGUGAUCCAUAGGCCGCUUCACACUUAAGCCCUGCUGAAGUGCUAACUGCCAAUUCACUCGAGCCGGCUGAAUUGAACCGGCACUCCACCGAGAUAUCGUAUACAAUUCGAGCCGCUCCAUGGCCUCUGACGACGUCUCACACGAAGUCCAGCAUCAGGGAGCUUUGCCCUAUGCGCACCGGUCCCACGAGCCAACACUUGUCCACCUUCAAUUCGAGUACUACUUAGGCCACGGCCAAACUUUGCCCUCAACCACAUCGCUCUCUCGACAGCUGAUUCUGACCCUCACUGUUCGUUCUACCGAAAAUUAUAUCCAAGAUGACAUCAGGCCACUCGGCGUAUGUCGCAACGGUCACGGUGCAAACGGUCUCGCAAUUCGAUACUCAUUGCUUUGAGAGUUCGCUCCACCAUGCACGUUCACACCGAGUCCAUCUUCGUCCAAGAACCAUCGCUAGCCUGAUUUGCUAGGUACCAUCUUUGGCUGUUUGCUACCUACUCCAGACAACGCGCCCUACACUCUCACGAUGCAAGCUUAUGCUCGGUUGCUACCUACCCAUCCAUUCAGGUCCUACUAAUGCAAUAUGUAAAUUAGUAGGUGCUGAUCAUAUGAUAAAUGCAUGCAAUGCAUCAAUCAUUGAGAUUACGCAAAAGCAUAUGCUUAUAUCAUUAACUAUACCUGCAACGGCAUCAUCGAUGGCCCCAGGCAGGUUCAUCAACCUGGCGGCGCGGCUCGCAAUCCCUGGCCACUGGCUGCUCGCGUGAACCCCCCUCCGGUUGCAUUUGUCCUCAAUCGGCGCUCCCCGAUCCGUGCAGGCAGGUGGCCACACCUGCAGCGUGUCGCGGGGAGGAAUGGGCCGUUACGGCCAGCAUCAAGGCCUUGGCUUCACGCUGCAGGCACUAUCCCGAUGAUGUGCCCUGGUGUCCACAGACGGAUACACCGCUCCAUCACGCAGCGCACUACAUCACCGCGCCUUCUGGUGGCGAACCACCACCAAAUUCACACCUCCGGAGAAGGAUCUUGGGUAGGAAGGAUGACUCGAGCGGUCCUGGAACUCGGCUGACCACCCGAACAUCGAUACCUGGGCCUCACCCUCUCGCUCUUGCCUACGAGACUUCGCUUGCUCCUCACGCACGAAAGCCUCACCAUGCUCUGCCCACACGCCCGAAUCCAACCCUCCGCAAGGUUUUGUGAGCUGGAAAAAGAUUUGCACCCUCUAUAAAUCUACGGUCGAAGUCACACGCAGAAGAACACCAAUACGUUCACUUAUCCUUGAUCAUACCGUUACCACAUCCGGGACACAAUUCACGAUACGGGAAUUAGGGCCCGUAUCGCUAUUCCCUCACAGAUGCGGUCUCCUCUGCCGCCAACUUUCCUAACCUAUCCCGCAAGCUUUUCUCCUGUUCAGUGUCAGGGAAGUACGAGAGAAAACAUUAAUCCCCGAAAAUUGCAUCCCACGCGCUAGAGGAAGAUAGGCGUAUCGAUCGAUUUCUGAUCGAAUGCCCUCCACCACGCCUUUGCCUGAUUGCUUCAACAAUGCCACAGCUAGGGGCCACCUUGUCCCGCUCCAAGGUGUAUUAUAGCCUCCUCGAAGUCAGCGUUUUCCAUGGAUCAAUCCACAUGCUCACGAAUCAUGGAUCGACAUGUCUCUCCAUCGAAAGUACGGCCGGUAUCAAAUUUUUUCUUGAAUAGUCAUUAGGGCCGCCAAAGUUCGUUCUGUUCCACCGCCUCCAAAUUCCACAUGAUACCAUGGGGCCACUGGCCCCCCGAAGUCCAUCGCGACUCCUGUCCGGUACACGACACGCUGCUACCGGCGCGAAGCUGCCGCCAGGCGUCGGUGUCAACAAUUCAUGGGAGCUCGUUGAUCUGCUCCUCCUGUCGCUGCACUAUGCCCAUAUGAGCGUAUUCAAUUGCUCACGGGCAUCGGGCUCCGGCUCGCCUCAGCUUGCUCCUAGGAGCACUUGUCCUUCCCGCGUCCGAUCUGGAUUAAGACUUCGCCUACGCGGUGUGCAUUCGCUUCCAUGAAACACGACAACUUGAUUGAUGUUUCAUCGACCCAAACUUUGGGUUCGAACACGAGAUCAACUAUAACGGGCCCCUCAAAGCAAUCAGGCGAACAGUCAACGCGAGGGCAUCUAUUCUCAUCAUUAGGUUUCAUGUUGUCGGACGCCAACAUGAACAUCUCCGGCCUGAGAUAAACACACCUCAAGUUUACCUCUAAUAUCGUCUUAGAGGUCUUACAGACAACAACCCAAUCCAUUAAUCUUUCGCCACAAAUAUAGGUCCUCGGUCAUCACGAUGGCCUUAUUCUCCUAUGGUUUACGUAUCCUAGGUCUCCUAGGUCCGGCUAAACCCAUUUUCUAUUUCCCAUUUUCUAAUUUUAUGCUCUUGAUACACGUUUGUCUGUCACGCCCGAGACGCCUCCCAAUUUUGGGGCCGGUUCGGGGCACGCCGACAGACCGCCUAACGGACAGAGUUUCCCCUGUACGUCCUAUGCAUCGCAACAAGUCAAUAAAAGGUUCCAACCGGAACAGUACUCAGCAAACAGAAUUUGCAUCAGGAAGGUAUCAAUCAACAUAAACACAUCCUAAGAUAUUACAUCCAUUUAACAACCUAUAUAUAUUACAUUCAACUUCCAAUACAAAUUAAGGUUUAUUACAACAUUUAUUAAAAGUUUAUACAUUGGCUUGCUUGUCACUUCAUAUACUCACUAACUACGUCGACGGGGAACUGCUAGCUCUGGUCUCUGGGGUAGGGCGCUAUCUAUGGAGCUACGAUCUUGCUCGCGCCGCCCGCUGCCGCUCCGUUGCGAACCUGCUAAACCCCAAAACAAUGUGGGGUGAGAACCAAACUCAUUGGUUCCCAGUGGGUUACGGCACCCAAGGAAGGAGCAUCGCCAACAGGUCCAAGGGAGGCAAAUACAAGUUAGUCAAUAGACAGAGUAGAUAUCUUAUAAUCAUGAAAAAUUGGCAACUAACUUACUUGGCUUUUGCCUCACAACUGCAACGAUUAGCAUGCUAUAUGGCCAACGCGAAUAUAUGCAACAUGAAUAUAUGCAACACUAGUAGAAUUAUUUGAUUCUACAAUCAAUCUCGCUAAUCUUAGGCUUCAUGUCAUCAACUCUUAAGGUUUCCACUACCUUAGGUUAUCACAUGUUACUACUAGCCCUCAGGUUCUAUAUACUUAUUCUAGCUUAACACCCGACUCGGGCCUCAGUCAAAUUCAACAGCGCACAGAUACAUUCCGCGCAUGCCUGCCCGGCCGAGGUGACAGGACCCGUGUCGCAUAGCACCUCAAGCCUGCACAAGCCAAGAACCACAUCCCCCACGGUCGCGCGGAAGGUCCGUGCACCGUGUCAGGGACCGCCAAAUUGGGGAGAGGAAACAUAGCCGGUUACACCCAUAAGCCAAAGAUCCCCGAUACGGGAGAGGAAACUGCCGUAACACCCUACGCGCUUCUUUGUUUACUUAAGUCAUAAUCCUCAAAGUUCUUUCCGGUGGGGAGAGAAACAUCGCCAGAUACACCGCGGGUCCAAAGAACUAUUGAAGUUCCAGGACUGGAUUCACGAAAUCGAUUCACAAAGUAAGGGUCCAAUAUCCAACCCGGUAUACUAUUUGACCUAUCUAGGUCCAAUGCACUUUCCGCCCUAGGUUCAACGCGCUCUAGGUUAAUGCCUCGAUGUCCACAACUAGGGUUUACGCUUAACUCUAGGUUCAGUCGUCAACCUAUGGUUCUUUUAACACUAGCCGUUGAUGCCACACACCUAGAUCCCGACUCUAGGUUAUUACUCACCUAUGUUUCUUUAACACUAGGGUAGAUGCCACUCGUUAUUUAUCCUAGGCUUUCAACAAGCAUCUAGGUUCAAUGUCAUCUAGAUGUCCGACCUAUGGUUAUAACACUGGGUUAAUGCCAACUCGAUCUACUUGAACAUCCUGAUUUUGUGCAUAUCGAGUAUUAUCUAAGUUCACAUACAUAUAUUUAGAUCAAUUAUCAUGCAUCAUCUUGGCAUUAUUGAUAUCAUAGGACAUUGCAUUCUUUACAUUAUGCAUUAUUUAUGAUUAUCAUAGCCUCUGCCUAGCAUCAUAAUAACCAUGCAAUUUAGCUAGCAUAUAUUUCGUACAAGCCAGUAUAAAUUUCCAUUAUUAUGCAUACUAUGAUUCUCAUUACAGUCACUAUGCGAUUAUCAUCUAGCAAUUAAUUAUAUGCAGUCAACAUGGAUUCUUAACUUAGCUUAGACCUUUUUUUUUUUUUUUUUUUUUUUUUUUUUUACAUAGAAGGGGCGACCUUAGUGCCUUUCGGUAAGCACACCACCUAUAACUCGCGGUUUCCGAUAUAAACUCCGUUCGCUCACUUGCAAUCGGCCUCGCGGCAACUUUUCGGCACCUGUUUGGGCCCGAUCUCACAGUUGCCUCUCUCCAAGAGCGACGUCGCUAUCGCCGUUUCAGUGUAACGAUCUUCGUCUGUAGCCGUUACGAUGCUCGGCGACCCGAUUUCACCGAUUAUAUGGAGCAUUCGCGCCCGGGGACCUCCAGGCGGUAAACGAAGCUCAACGUUACCGUUUCUUCAAUAGUCUUUGUAACGGCCUGCGUCGGAUCUGCCGAACCGUCUUCGGCAACGGUGUUCUUACCUAUCAUUAGGUUUACAGAGCGGUUAUUGAGAUCAACACCCAUCUAUUACAAAAAUUCCAUUUUUGAGCCUAGUUUACAACCACGGCAAAAAUACUCCAUAAUAAAAUCCCUAGAUUCAUGCAUUAAUCUACUCAUAAGCAUGCUAGGAUUCCAUCUAAACCAUUCUUAGAGUGUAUUAACCAAACCCUAAGAAAUCACCAUUAAAGAGCUUCCAAGAAGCUUACCUCCUAAAGCCUCUCCAAGCACAAGGAAGGAAUGAAGAAGAUGAAAAGCUCUUCUUCUUCUUCUUCUUCUUCUUCUUCUUCCUCUUCUCCUUCUUCUUCUUCUUCCUUUCUUCUAUUUCGUUUAGAGAGAGAGAGGGGUGGCGUUGGGGUUGAAACGGUGAGGGAAAGAGAGAGAGAGAGGUUCUACUCCUCUCUAUACACUUAACCCAUGCAACAUUUGCAGGAAAACCCCUCAACAAAGCCUCUCUUGCAACAGCCCGAACUGGGCAUUUUCGGGGUUCGGGGACCGGUCCUUGCGGUGAGGGACCGGUCCCUGAGAGACCGGUCUCUCUGCCUGGGACCGGUCUCAGAGAGACCUCCAGCCCAGACUUAGCCAAUUUUCAGCUUCGUCCGUUUUCGCUCCGUUUUCGCCCGUUUUCGCUCGUUUGACCUCCGAUUCUUUUCAAAUCGAACCGAGACUCUCCAAAUAUGUUUUCGAGCGUAUUUUCAUCAUCUUUUCAUUCCCGCUAAUGCCGGAUUUAGCUCACGGCCCAACAUAGCCUUUCGGGCUCCGUUGUCGCGCCUAUGCGCAUCGAAACGCCCGAUAGCUCCCGAACUUCACCGAACUUCACCGGAACCAUUCAAAUAGCUCUCCAAUCGAAUGUACACUGUAACUUAAUAGUUUUAGAAGUCCGGUACCUUACAGUUUCGUCCUCGAAACUAACUCACCUCAAACCCAUUUCACACCCUAAUUCUCUUUAUUAAGUGACAAAGGGUACAGUGCACUUUUGCAUCUCGGAGUGGCCUUUCGCUCAUUGGAACUAUCCAAAGGCCCACUACGGAGGACGUGAGACUAAAUUCACUCACAUUUGCUGUGUGUAAGUUCAAAAGUGCAUUACGAGUCUCCGUCAUUCUGGGUGGUAGCGCAAGUGGAAACUCAACGACUCUACGCGCUCCAACACCAUUCUCCAUCUGGCAUGCAAGAACUCUUCUUUGUAUCCCACACCUUGUCAGGGAACACACUCCGAUUCAAUCACCAACAUUGCUUGAAAGCAAUAUGGUGCAUCGACCAAUCGCGAGUGCUCCAAUCAUAUUUCGAUCUUUGCUCUAUUGAGAGAUGGCCCACUCCGGCGCACCUCGAAUCUCAAUCCAUAAAAGAGCAUUAUCCUCAAUUCCAUGUAGCCGGUAUUUCAAGUGUCCCCAAGAGACCACUUUCUCUUAUUUCUCAAUCGCCACUUCUAACCUCAAAUCGCUCUACUGCGAGAUGGCCUACCCCAGUGCAUCUCUUGAACUUUAAUCCAUGAAAGAGCAUUGUCUCCAAGCUUUCCAAAUUUUUCCAACAUAACCCAGCCUGCCUGGGCAAACCUUGUACUCGGGGACCGGUCUUGCCCUACCUGGGACCGGUUGCCCCGCGCUGCGCAACCCUCCGCCUCGGGGCAACCGGUCCCUCCCUCCUGGGACCGGUCCCCGAGAGCAAGCUCGCGCAGACCACAUUCGGGAACCGGUCCCUCCCACCAGGGACCGGUCCCCGAGAGCAAUUCUGCCAAGUGCAGAAUCUUGCACCAUUUGCUCUCGCGGACUCCAUUGCAAUGCACUUUUGAUGCAUUUGACUUCUUCGGUUUUUACGAAGCACUCCCACUCGACAAUUAGUCGAUCUUGAGCGAAGUCCAAAUCUCAAAUUUCGAGGACUCUCUUCCUUACUCUGACUCCUCCACAGAGUUAUUGACUAAACCGAUUACGUCGGCUUUCACGGGUGGACCAGCGGUCGUAAUGCUACGUCGGCAUAUCGCCUAACCUAUCGUACUACGCACAGCGUCUCUCACUCGCAUCGUAGUCCCAAUCCUCAUUUUCGGGCGAAAUCCUUACUUGGGAGUUCGCACACACUCCAAACAGGAGCAACCAAGACCCCAAACCAUGUCAAGUCCUCGGGUUGGGUCACUACACACCCUGUGUAUCCCUAAUCUCAUGAUCCAUCACAUGGCAUUCCACGCACUCGGGUCUAAGCUUGGACUACCGUCCUGACCAAAACUCUCCGCCCUACCUAUAGGUAUUGGGCCGCUGCCUCUCACAGCUGACUGCGCCUGCCAAAUGGGCUCAGGCUCCACAGUCCACAAAGGGUCCAGGCACAGGUCGUCCCCAAGCACUACCUGCUAACGUCGUCCUACACGACACACUCUACAGAGCUACGGACUCUACCGGCUCCUAGGCACCUAGUGCGAGCCACCAGCCCUCACGAGUGAUCCAUGGCCUGCUUCACACUUAGCCUUGCCGAAGUGCUACUGCCAAUUCACUCGACCGGCUGAACCGAAACCGCACUCCACGAGUAUUUAUACUCGAGCGCUCUACGUCUCUACAGCGUCUCGCACGAAGUCUUGGAUCAGGCAGCUUAGCCUAUGCACGCCGGCCACACAAGCAACAACUCGUCCACCUCAGUUCGAGGUACUACUAGGCCCACAGGCCAAGUUCGGCACUAAUCAACUAAUUUCGCAAUAGUGGUUCAUCACCAUUGUCCAAUCUAUCAAAUUCACCUCCGAAAUACUCUUGGGAUAUCCGGGUGUCCCCAAACAUCAAGGCUCAACUCUCGCAAUCUCUAAUUUAUUGCAUCGAGAGUUCUCUCACAUUUUCGACUUCCAUUACGAGCCUCGUUUCUUAUCCAAAGCCACCACUAGCCAUUUGCUAGUGCCCAAUGGCUCUCUACCUGCCCCAGCAGGCGCCAUACUCUCAUCCUGCUAGCAUGCUCGGGUACCUACUUACCCGACCACUCGGUCCCUACUAUAUAAUGUAGUAAUAGUAGUAACUGACCAACGAUGAAUGCAUGCUAUGCAACAACUUGGGAUCAUGCAAAAUUAUGCUUGCUCAAUUAAUUCAUACCUGCUACGACGACGUCGACAACAGCAGGCACCGCGACUCGGGUCGCUUAUCUAUGGCCACUUGGCGCUCGUCGCGACCCCUCUGAUUGCAACGUCCUCAACGGCAGCUCUCCCGACCAUGCCGCAGGUGGCACACCUGCAGGCUGUCCCAGAGAGGGAUACGCCGUCGUUAGCAUCAAGGCCCGGUUAUCGCCUUUGCGGACACUCGUCCCGCACAUGGCCCGGCAGCCCACACGUGAAGCACUUGCCCUCACGCUGUUCACACCGCUGUGGGCAAUGAGGGCCCCCACAAAUAAUACAUCUCGCCGAGGACCGAAUGUGGUAAGUCCACGGAGCUCGGGAUCGCGAGCGCGAACUUAUCGAAGUUCGUUGGGAACAUGACUGUGUUAAGGAUUUUAUAAGUUGGCGAAUUUUGUGAAGUAUUGAACGGAGUCUCGAAGAAUUAGAAGAUGAAGAUUGACGAAAAGAAUUGAAGUUUUUGUGAUCAAAGACCCUUGAGAUCUUAGGUAUGAUUAUAAAUAAUUUGUGGUGAAGUUUUCAUUGUUAAAAGAUGUUUAGAAGACUUGGUUUGUUUUUGAUUUAUUCAAACUUAAGUUUUCUGAAAAAUUCAGGGGCCGGGGACCGGUCCUUUAGAACAAUAUAAUACGGUUUUACUCUUUAUUUGAUUGAAUGAGAAAAAGCACUCGUUGCAAAGUUAUCCUGUUAGGGCGCAACUGAGUAAUCUAAUAUUGUUCUGAUUUUGAUUUUUGUGAACGUUUACAUCGAUUCGUUCCAAAUUUACACUCUCGGGGCAUAAUAGAACAAUAUAAUUAGGCUUUAUACUUUGUUCGAUUGAAUGAGAAAAAAUACUUGUUGCAAAGUUAUAAUGUAAGGGCGCAACAUGGUAGUUUAUUGUUUGUUCCGAUUUUGGGUUUUGUGAAGGUUGACACUCGAUUGGUUUAAAAUUUACAUCUUGGGGCAUAAUAGAACAAUACAAUUAGGUUUUACUCUUUGUCGAUUGAAUGAGAAAAGUACUUGUUGCAAAAUUAUUGCAACUGAGUAGUCUAAUUGUUGCUCCGGUUUUGGUUCUCGUGAGUUGACAUCGAUUCGUCCAAAUAUCUACACUCUGGGGCAUAAUAGCAACAAAUAAUUAGGUUUUUACUCUUUGUUCGAUUGAAUGAGAAAAAGUCUACUCCUUGCAAAUUUAUACUAUUAAGGCACAACAAGUAGUCUAAUGUUGUUUUUGAUUUGGUUCUUGUGAACGUUGACAUCGACUUCGCUCCAAUUCCACUCUCGGGCAUAAUAGAACUAUAUAAUUAGGUUUUACUCUUUGUUCGAAUUUAAUGAGAAAAAGUACUCUUGCAAAUUUAUAUAGUUUAUGCGCAACUGAGUAGUCUAAUGUUAUUCCGGUUUUGGUUCUUUUGAAUGUUGACAUCGAUUUCGUUCCAAAUUUACACUCUCGGGCAUAAUAGAACAAUAUAAUUAGCUUGUUUCCCUUGUUCGAUUGAUUUAGAAAAAGUACUCGUUGCAAAAGUUGAUUUACUGUUAUGCGCGAGCUGGAGUUGUCUAAUUGUUCCGGUUUGGUUCUUAUGAACGUUGACAUCGAUUCUGCCAAAUUUACAACGAUCGGGGCAUAAUAGAACAAUAUAAUUAGGUUUUAUUCUCUGUUCGAUUUGAUGAGGAAAAAGUAUCGUGUUCAAUUUAUAGGUUAGGCGCAACUGAGUAGUCUAAUAUUAUUCCGGUUUGGUUCAUUUGAAGGUUGAUAUCGAUUCGUUCCAAAUUUCCACUCUCGGGGCAUAAUAGAAAAACAAUAUAUUACGUUUUCUUUUGUUCGAUUGAAUGAGAAAAUACUUGUUGAAAGUUAUACUGUAAAGGCGCAACUGAAUAGUCUUUUGUUGUUCCGGUUUUGGUUUUUUUGAAGGGGUUGACAUCGAUUCGUUCAAUUUACACUCUCGAGCAUAAUGAACAAUAUAAUCAGCUUUACUCUUUGGUUCGAUUGAAUGAGAAAAGUACUCGCUGUAAAGUUAUAUGUUAGGGCGCAACUGAGUAGUCUAAUGUUUGUUUUGUGGUUUGGUUCUUGUGAACGUUGACAUCAAUUCGUUCCAUAUUUGCACUCUCGGGGCAAAUGAAACAAUAUAAUUAGGUUUUACUAUUUGUUCGAUUGAAUGAGAAAAAAGUACUCGCUGCAAAUUUAUACUUUAGGGCUAACUGAGUAGUCUAAUGUUGUUCCGGUUUUGGUUCUUCGUAAACAUUGACAUCGAUUCCGUUCCAAAUUUACACUCUCGGGGCAUAAUAUAACAUAUAAUUAGUUUUACUCUCUGUUUCGAUUGAAUGAGAGCAAAGUAUCGUGCUAAUUUAUACGGUUAGGGCGCAACUGAGUAGUCUAAUAUUAUUCCGGUUUUGGUUCUUGUGAAGUUGAUAUCGAUUCGUUCAAUUUUCACUCUCGGGGAAAAAUGAGACAAUAUAAUUAGGUUUUACUCUUUGUUCGUUGAAUGAGAAAAAAUAUUUGUUGCAAAGUUACACUGUAAAGGCGCCAACUGAGUAGUUUAUUGUUGUUCCGGUUUUGGUUUUUUUUAAGGUUGACAUCGCAUCUCAUUCCAAAUUUACACUCUCGAGACAUAAUGAACAAUAGAAUCAGGUUUUACUCUUUAUUCGAGGUUGAAGAGAAAAGUACUCCUGUAAAGUUAUUCUGUUAGGGCGCAACUGGUAGUUCUAUUGUGUUCCGAUUUUGGUUCUUGUGAUGGUUCACAUCGAUUCGUUUCAAAUUUAUACUUCGGGGCAAAAUAGAAGAAUAUAAUUAGGUUUUAUUCUUUGUUCGAUUGAAUGAGAAAACAGUACUCUUUGCAGACGUUAUACUUUAGGCUUAGGGCACAAUGAAGUUAGUCUUAUAUGUUGUUCCGAUCUUUGGUCCUUCGUAAACGUCGCAUUGAUUCGUUCAGAAUAUUUACACUCUCAUGGCGUAAUAGAACAAUAUAAUACCGUUGUUACUGUUUGUUCGAUUGAAUGAGAAAAAGUACCGUUUGCAAAUAAUUACCUGUAUAUGGGUCGCAACUGGUAAUCCGAAUGAUUGUUCUGGUUUUGGUUUUUGUGAACGUUUACAUCGAUUCGUUCAAAUUUAGCACUCUGGCGGCAAUAAUACGAUAAUAUUAAUUAGUUUUUCUUUGUUCGAUGCAGUGAGAAAAAUAACUGUGUUGCAAAGUUAUAUGUAAGGGCGCAAUGAGUAGUUCUUGUUGUUUCGGUUUUGUUUUUUGAAGAUUGGACAUCAGAUUCGUUCGAUGAAUUUACACUCUUAGGCAUAAUUAGAACAAUUACAAUUAGUUUUACUCUUUUUCGAUUGAAUGAGAAAAAUACUUGUUGCAAAAUUAUACUAUUAUGCGCAACUGAGUAGUCUAUAUUGUUUCGUGGUUUUGGUUCCGGUUUUUGGUUUUUUUUGAAGAGUUGACAUCGAUUCGCUUCCAAAUUUACACUCUCGAGGCAUAAUUGAACAAUAUAAUCAGGUUUUUACUUUUUGUUCGAUUGAAUGAGAAAAAGGUACUCGCUGUAAAGUUAUAUGUUAGGCCGCAAACGUGAGUAGUCAUUGUUGUUGACCUGUUUUGGUACUUUGAUGGUUGACAUCGAUUCGUAUUUAAAAUUUACACUGCUCGGGGACAAUAGAAGAAUAAUAAUUAUGUUUUAUUCUUUGUUCGGACAUGAAUGAGAAAAGUACUCUUUGAAUUUACACUAUUAGCGCAACUGAGUUAAUCUAAUGUUGUUCCGGUUUUUGGUUCUUUUGAACGUUGACAUCGAUUCGUUCCAAAUUUACACUCUUGGGGCAUAACAGAACAAUAAAAUUAGGUUUUACUCUUUGUUCGAUUGAAUGAGAAAAGUACUUGUUGCAAAGUUAUAUGUUAUGGCGCAACUGAGUAGUCUAAUGUUGUUCCGUUUUCGUUCUCGUGAACAGUUGACAUCGAUUCAUUCCAAAUCUACACUCUCGGGCCAUAAUAGAACAAAAUAAUUAGGUUUUACUCUUUGUUCGAUUGAAUGAGUAAAAGUACUCCUUGAAAUUUAUACUAUUAAGGCACAACUGGAUGUCUAAUGUUGUGUGGAAUUUGUAUGACGUUGACAUCGAUUCGCUCCAAAUUCACACUCUCGGGCAUAAUAAUAGAACAUAUAUAAUUAGGUUUUACUCUUUGUUCGAAUGAAUGAGAAAAAGUUACUUGCAAAUUUAUACUGUUAUGGAGCAAUGAUAGUCUAAUAUUAUUCGGUUUUGUUCUUUUAAAUGUUGACUCGAUUCGUUCCAAAAUUACACUGACGGGGCAUAAUAGAACAAUAUAAUUAGCUUUAUCCCUUUGUUCGAUUGAAGAUAAAAGGAGUACUCGUUGCCAAAGUUAUACUCUGUUUAUGGCGGAACUGGUAGUUCUAAUGUUGUUCCGGUUUUGUUCUUAUAAACGUUUGAAUCGAUUUCUUCCAAAUUUACACUCUGGGGCAUACUAGAACAAUAUAAUUAGGUUUUACUCUUUGUUCGAUUGAAUGAGUAAAAGUACUCUUUGCAAAUUUUACUUGUUAUAGGGCAACUGAGUAGUUUAAUGUUGUUUUGGUUUGUGGUCUUUUGAACAUUGACAUGAUUCGUUCCAAAUUUACAUCUGGGGCAAAAUAGAACAAUAUAAUUAGGUUUUACUAUUUGUUCGAUUGAAUGAGAAAAAUACUCGCUGCAAAUUUAUACUUGUUAGGGCGUAAUUGAGUAGUCUAAUGUUGUUCGCGUUUUUCUUGUAAACAUUGACAUCGAUUUCGUUCCAAAUUUCACUCUGCGGGAUAAUAUAACAAUAAUAAUUAUGUUUACUCUCUGUUCGAUUGAAUGAGAAAAAGUACUCGUUGCUAAUUUAUACGGUUAGGGCGCAAUGAGUAGAGUCUAAUAUUAUUCCGUUUGGUUCUUUGAAGUGUUGAUAUCGAUUGUUCCAAAUUCCACUCUCGGGGCAUAAGAGACAAUAUAAUUAGGUUUUACUCUUUGUGUUCGAUUGAAUGAGAAAAUAUACUUGUUGAAAGUUAUACUGUAAGGGCGAAAUGAGUAGUUUUAUUGUUGUUUCCGAUUUUGGUUUUUUUUGAAGGUUGACAUCGUUCAUUCCAAAUUUCAACUCUCGAGCAUAAUUUGAACAGUAUAAUCAGGUUUUACUCUUUGUUGCGUUGAAUGAGAAAAGUACUCGCUGUAAGUUAUACUGAUUAGGCCGAACUGAGUAGUCUAUUGUUGUUCCGAUUUUGGUUCCUGUGAUGUGUUGACAUCGAUUCGUUCAAAUUUACACUCUGCGGGCAAAAUAGAAGAAUACAAUUAGGUUUUUUUCUUUGUUCGAUUGAAUGAGAAAAAAGUACUCGUUGCAAAUUUACACUGUUAGGGCGCAAUGAGUAAUCUAAUGUUGUUCCGGUUUUGGUUCUUUUGAACGUGACAUCGAUUGUUCCAAAUUUAUUAUUCUUGGGGCAUAAUAGAAAAUACAAUUAGGUUUUACUCUUUGUUCGAUUGAAUGAGAAAAGUACUUGUUGCAAAGUUAUACUGUUAUGGCGCAACUGAGUAAGUCUUCUAAAUGUUGUCUCCCGUGUUUUCGCUUCUCGUGAAACGUUGACGAUCGAUUCGUUCAAAUCUGACACUCUCGGGGAUAAUAGAACAAAAUAAUUAGGUUUUUACUCUAUUGGGUCGAUUGAAUUGAGAAAAAGUACUCUCUUGUCAAAUUUAUAUAUUAAGGCCACACAGUAGUAGGUCUAAUGGUUGUUCUGGAUUUGGUUCUUUGCAAGUUGACACGAUCGCUCCAGAAUUCCACUCUCGGGACAUAAUAGCAACUAUUAUAUUAGGUUUUACUCUUUGUUCGAAGUGCGCAUCGACAAAAAACACUCACUCUAUGAAUUUAUACUGUUAUAGCGGAACUGCAUAGUCUAAUGUGUAUUCCGGUUUUGUUCUUUUGAAUGUUGACAUCGAUUCGUUUCCGAAAUUUACACUCUCGGGGCAUAAUAGGUAAUAAUAUAAAUUAGCCUUUUUCUUUGUCGAUUGAAUUAAAAAGUGUAUCGUUGCAAAGUUAUAAUGCUUAUGGCGGAACAUGAGUUCGUCUAAUUUGGGGUUAGUUCCUGUUUGGUUCUUAAUGAAGUUGACAUCGAUUCGUUUCCAAUUUAUCACUCCGGGGCAUAAUUAUAACAAUAUAAUUAGUUUUACUCUCUGUUCGAUUAGAUGAGAAAAAGUACUCGUUGCUAAUUUAUACCGGUUAGGGUUAGUAACUGAGUAGUCUAUAUAUUAUUCCUGUUUUGGUUUUGUGAUGGUUGAUAUCGUUUCGUUCCAAAUUCCACUCUCGGGAAUAAUGAAGAACAUAUAAUUAAGUUUUAUCUUUGUUCGAUUUGAAUGAGGAAAAAUACUUGUUGCAAAGUUAUACUGUAUUAGGGCGGCACUGAGCAGUUUAUUGCUUGUUCGUCUUUGGGUUUUUUUGAAGGCUUGACAUCGAAUUCGUCCAAAUUUCACUCUCGAGCAUAAUUGAACAAUAUAAGAUCGGUUUUACUCUUUUGUUCGAUUGAAUGAGAAAAUAGUCUCGCUGUAACUUGAUCUGUUAGGCCGCAACUAAGUAGUCUAUUGUAAGUGUUCCAGGUUCUGGUUCUUGUGAUGGUUGACAUCGAUUCGUUCAAAUUUAACACUCGCGUUGCCAAUAGAAGAAAAUAAUUAGGUCUUAUUUCUUUUCGAAUGAAUGAGAAAAAAGUAACUCGUUGCAAAUAACACUGAUUAGGGCGCAAUGAGUAAUCUAAUGUUGUUCGCGGUUUUGGUUCUUUUUAACGUUGACAGGGUCCGCAUUGUUCAAGAGGUGUUAAGAGCUCUUGGGGCAUAAUUGAACAAUACAAUUAGAUUUUAUCUUUGUCGAUUAGAAUGAGAAAAAGUACUUGUUGGAAAGUUAUACUGUGGUUAUAGCCGCAACUGAAGUAGUUAUGUUUGUUCCGGUUUUUGGUCUCUUGAACGGUUGAAUCGAUUCGUUCCAAAUCUACACCUUCGGGGCAUAUUAGAACAAAAUAAUUUAGGUUUUCUCUCUGUUCGAUUGAAUGAGAAAAAGUAUUCUUGCCAAAUGUAUACUAUAAGGCACAACUGAUAUGUCUAAUGUUGUUCUGGAUUUGGUUCUUGUAACGUGACAUCGAUUCUCGCUCCAAAUCACACUCUCGGGGCAUAAUUAGAACUAUAUAAUUAGAUUUUACUUUUGUUGAAUGAAUGAGAAAAAGUAACUCUUGCAAUUAGACUUGUUAUGCGCCCACACUGAGUAGCUCUAUGUUAUUACGGUUUGGUUCUUUAUGAACGCUUGACAUCGAUUCUCCAUAUUUUAUACUUCGGGGAUAAUUAGAACAACUAUAAUUUAGGUUUUACUCUUUGAAAUUCGAUGAAUGAGAAGAGUACUCCUUGCAAAUUUAUCUGUUGGAGCACAACUUGAGUGUCUAAUGGUUUGUUUGUGUUUGCCGAGUUCUCGACGUUGGUCCAUCCUGUGUGAACGAAGUAAUCGUCUAGCCGAUAAUCCGUCGGAGGAGUUAGAGUCACGAAAGUGAAUUCUCGAAAUACUGGAGCAGUUGGAUUUCGCUCUAAUGGACUGAAUUGAUCGAGUGGUAAGUGCGUUUGCUGGAAAGCGGAUGAAGUCAAAGUGCAUCAAAAGUGCAUGCCAAUGGAGUCCUGGAGAGCAGACGGUGCAAAAAUCUUAACUUGGCAGACUUGUCUUCGGGGACCGGCUCGCCAAGCGGGAGGCACCGGAUUCCCGUCCGUUGUUACGCGAGCUAUCUCAUCGGGGACCAGGUCCCGAGGAGGGAGGGACGGUUGCCCGAGCCGAGCGUGUGUGGCAAGCGCGAGGCGAACCGGUCCCAGGCAGGGAGAGACCGGUCCCGAGUGUGAAAUUUGCCAGGCAGUCUGGGGUUAUGUUGGAGAAGUUAGAGAACUUGAAGGCAUAAUAUCGUUUGUGUAUUCGAGAAUCGUGAUGUGCCGAAUAGGCCACACUCCCGAUAGAGCAAAGAUCAAAUUGUGGUUUGAAACAUACAGAUGUGGUAGCGGAAUCGCACUAUGCAUUGUUCCUAAGCAAGGGUGCGAUGGUCGAACGGAUGCCCUGAAGGGAAGUAAAAUGGAAGAAGAGUUUUCGGCAUUCAAGUGCAUAGUGGGCGUUUAAAGCGCGUAGAGUCGUUGAGUUUCGACUUGUGCACCACCAAGAAUGACAGAAAUUCGUAAUGCACUUUCGCGGGAUAUACUUAGACAAAUGGGAGUGAAUUUGGUUCACAAUCUCGUGUAGUGGCCUUUGGACAAUUCCAAUGAGCAAUAAGAGCCACUCGUGAGGUGGAAAAGUGCUGUAUACCCUGAUACUCGAUAAGUGGAAAUGGGUUAGAAGUUAGUUUCGGGGACGAUAACUCUUAUUAAGGAGGGGAGGAUGUAGAGUACUGGAUUCUAAAACUAUGGAAGUUAUGGUGUACAAUGAUUUGUGGGACUUUAAUGGUCCCGGUGGAGAAUGUAACAUACAGAUUUUGGUUAAACAAAUAAUAAAUAAAUGAAAAUAGUGUGGCGAUAUAUUUUUAUUGGAUUUAGAGAAAUAAAACUAAGUCUAGAUAUUGAGCUUGUGUGAAAUCGGAAUGAAAACAGAAGAUCUAGGAAUUUUUGUCCGAGGACGGGCAGAUAAAUUUAGCAGAAAAUGCCAUGUGCUCAGAAAAGUUAUAAAAUUGGCAGAGAUGUUCAGAAAUAUUUUUAUGAGGCUAGCUAUGAAGUUCAUAUUUUUCUGACACCAGAAAAGUGCUGAUUCAGAUAUCCGAAAGUAUUGAUAAAGAUUACAGGUUCGUAACAGUUUUCGUGACACGAGUGGUCGAAACUGAAAUAGUUAAAAUGUGUUGGACCUCGUUAUGCUGAAACCGAGCCAGCCUGGUCAAGUAUUGAGCAUAAACUGGACAUUCAGGGGUCCAGGGAAAGAUAUCGAGAUUUUAACUGCCCGGACGAUGGAAUAGUUGAUAGAGGAGUUGUGACUUUAAUUAGAAGCUAAGUACUUCUUCUUCUUCUUUCUCCCACAGCGCGAGCAGCCUGCCAAGCAUCGACAGCACGCAAUUGGAGGGGGAGAGAAACCCUUCUCUCUU
rnacentral:lncRNA from 1 species